GCUGGGGUAGCUCGGUCGGUAGAGCAGGAGACGCUUGAUCUCAGCGUCGUGGGUUCGAGCCCCAUGUUGUGCA